rnacentral:rRNA from 1 species
AUUGAACGCUGGCGGCAUGCCUAACACAUGCAAGUCGAGCGGAUGAAGGGAGCUUUCUCCUGGCUUCAGCUGCCGACGGGUGAGUAAUUCCUAGGAAUCUGCCUGGUCUUUGGGGAUAACGUCCGGACACGGGCGCUAAUCUCGCAUCCGUUCUGAUGUUGAAACUCGGGGAUCUUCGGACCUCACCCUAUCUGAUGAGCCUAGGUCGGAUUAGCUAGUUGGUUGGGUAAAGGCCUACCAAGGCGACGAUCCGUAACCGAUCUGAGAGGAUGAUCAGUCACACUGGAACUGAGACACGGUCCAGACUCCUACGGGAGGCAGCAGUGGGGAAUAUUGGACAAUGGGCGAAAGCCUGAUGCAGCAAUGCCGCGUGAGUGAAGAAGGUCUUCGGGUUGUAAAGCACUGUAAGUAGGGAGGAAGGGCAGUAAGUUAAUACAUGGCUGUUUUGACGUUACCAAAAGAAUAAGCAACGGCUAACUUCGUG